UACGGGGGGGGUAAGCGUUGUUCGGAAUUACUGGGCGUAAAGGGCUCGUAGGCGGCCAACUAAGUCAGACGUGAAAUCCCUCAGCUUAACCGGGGAACUGCAUCUGAUACUGGAUGGCUUGAGAUUGGGAGAGGGAUGCGGAAUUCCAGGUGUAGCGGUGAAAUGCGUAGAUAUCUGGAGGAACACCGGUGGCGAAGGCGGCAUCCUGGACCAACACUGACGCUGAGGAGCGAAAGCCAGGGGAGCAAACAGG
rnacentral:rRNA from 1 species